GAAACUAAUGCAACCUUAAAGAAACCCAAUUGGUUUCCUAAAAAAAAAAAAAGGAAACAAAAACUAAACAGUCGAUCCUAAUAAACCAGCCUUUCCGACGAACGAAUCCCCUUUUGAAUCCUCCAGAACCCGGUAGUUCUUGCUCGUCUACUGCUGAUUCAUUUUGCCGUAACUCGUGUCAGAAACGGAGGCACCUCUUCCUAAGGGUUCACAAACUCCUCAAAACAUUGAUGCCUUUUUUGAUCAUCUUGAAUCCGAGCCUUCACUCUGUCACUUUAUUCUUUCAACAAUAUCCUUCGAUAGUCUUCUUCUGCCUCCAUCACUGCCGAUUGAGGAAAUCCAUUUUGCAGGUAAGUAACCUCUACUCUUUUAAGCCCUUACACUGCUAAUGCAUGUGCCACUUUAUUCGCCAUUCUUGAGGUAUUUUUAAACAGGCAUGCUUCGUAGCCUGAACUAAGUAUUUUUUUGCUUAAGACAGGCACUGAUUCUCGAUUUAUAUAUUUUUCCAUAUUGCACCUUUUUGAUAACUGAUAGCGCAUUGCCUUCGAUUUCAACUUUUCCUAAUCCCAGAUCCAACCUUAAUUGAGUUGCCAGGAUACAGGCAAUCGCCUCUGUUGCAAAAUCGCGUCAAAGGUAAUUUUACGAACAAUCCCCCUGUGAUCUCCAACGCUCCCCCUCUAUUCUUCGUGCAGGUAUUUGUUCCUAGUUGUCCACAAAGACCAGAAUUGUAAAGCUAAACAAUCCUGAAAGGCACGCUCAACAUUUUCCACUUCGCUUGUACAAUUAGGACACUUCGCAGAUCCCACUAUCCUCCUUUGGUAUAGAUUAAAUUGAGUAGGCAGAUUGCUAUUAAAGACCCUCGAAUUCAUAAUUUUUAUUUUUGAAGGUAGAUCUAGGGACCAGAGUUUUUUUUUGAAAAAAGUGUUGUAAUCUUGUUGUUCAUUGUUGAGAGUAGUUGAGUGUGUCUCUUGUAUAAGUAUUUUGUAUCCACUCCUUACUGAGUAUUCGCCAGAAGCCUCACCUCGCCAUACCAGUCUAUCUUUUUGUGGUGCAUAUAGAAAAGGGAUACACAAAAUCCUUUUAGCCUCUUCUUCAUUAAA